rnacentral:rRNA from 1 species
UAGGGAAUCUUCCACAAUGGACGCAAGUCUGAUGGAGCAACGCCGCGUGAGUGAAGAAGAUCUUCGGAUCGUAAAACUCUGUUGUUAGAGAAGAACACGAGUGAGAGUAACUGUUCAUUCGAUGACGGUAUCUAACCAGCAAGUCACGGCUAACUACGUGCCA